CAGCCUACACAUGCAAGUCGAGCGGAUGAAGGGAGCUUGCUCCUGGAUUCAGCGGCGGACGGGUGAGUAAUGCCUAGGAAUCUGCCUGGUAGUGGGGGAUAACGUCCGGAAACGGGCGCUAAUACCGCAUACGUCCUGAGGGAGAAAGUGGGGGAUCUUCGGACCUCACGCUAUCAGAUGAGCCUAGGUCGGAUUAGCUAGUUGGUGGGGUAAAGGCCUACCAAGGCGACGAUCCGUAACUGGUCUGAGAGGAUGAUCAGUCACACUGGAACUGAGACACGGUCCAGACUCCUACGGGAGGCAGCAGUGGGGAAUAUUGGACAAUGGGCGAAAGCCUGAUCCAGCCAUGCCGCGUGUGUGAAGAAGGUCUUCGGAUUGUAAAGCACUUUAAGUUGGGAGGAAGGGCAGUAAGUUAAUACCUUGCUGUUUUGACGUUACCAACAGAAUAAGCACCGGCUAACUUCGUGCCAGCAGCCGCGGUAAUACGAAGGGUGCAAGCGUUAAUCGGAAUUACUGGGCGUAAAGCGCGCGUAGGUGGUUCAGCAAGUUGGAUGUGAAAUCCCCGGGCUCAACCUGGGAACUGCAUCCAAAACUACUGAGCUAGAGUACGGUAGAGGGUGGUGGAAUUUCCUGUGUAGCGGUGAAAUGCGUAGAUAUAGGAAGGAACACCAGUGGCGAAGGCGACCACCUGGACUGAUACUGACACUGAGGUGCGAGAGCGUGGGGAGCAAACAGGAUUAGAUACCCUGGUAGUCCACGCCGUAAACGAUGUCGACUAGUCGUUUGGGAUCCUUGAGAACUUAAUUGGCGCANCUAACGCGAUAAGUCAACCGUCUGGGGGAGUACGGCCGCUAUGUCUAAACUC
rnacentral:rRNA from 1 species